rnacentral:rRNA from 1 species
CAAUAGCGUAUAUUAAAGUUGUUGCAGUUAAAAAGCUCGUAGUUGAAUUUUUGCUUGCCGCCGAUGUCGGAACUUCCGUACGUUCGGCGGCGUGCAUCCUUGGGUGGAACCUGUGUGGCAUUAGGUUGUCGUGCAGGGGAUGCUCAUCGUUUACUGUGAAAAAAUUAGAGUGUUCAAAGCAGGCUUAUGCCGUUGAAUAUAUUAGCAUGGAAUAAUAAGAUAGGACCUUGGUACUAUUUUGUUGGUUUGCGCACCGAGGUAAUGAUUAACAGGGACAGUUGGGGGUAUUCGUAUUCCAUUGUCAGAGGUGAAAUUCUUGGAUUUCUGGAAGACGAACUACUGCGAAAGCAUUUACCAAGGAUGUUUUCAUUA